rnacentral:tRNA from 1 species
GCGGGGGUUGCCAAGUUAGGUCAAAGGCGCAGGGCUUAGGACCCUGUCCCGUAGGGGUUCGUGGGUUCGAAUCCCACCCCCCGCA